ensembl:snoRNA
CCCGCCACUAUGCCGGUCUGUUUUAGUGACAUGAGUAUAAUCCAGUGGAGGCUCAGAUGGACCCAGCUCUAGGAAGCAGGGCUGCCUAAACAAAUGGGCAACUCUGUGCCGAAAGGCCUGGAACACAC